AGUACACUCAUACACAUGUUCUACGGUUUGUAGAGCAGCGUUUGGCAAAGUAACCAAAGACGUUCACAGCAAAUUCUUACAGCUAAUGUGCGAAAUAGUACCCCUUUCAAGUACCUUUGAUAUUUCUGAUCUUUUGCCUUCGUUCAAGAUUCUGCAUCCCCUCCUCUCUGUCAAGAGGCAGUUGGUGAAGAUCCAUCUUAAGAUGGAUAGACUCUUGGUCAAUAUAAUCGAUCAGCACAUCAACAACCUGCAGAGAAAUAUGUCCACUGGUGAAUAUGGCAAUGAAGAUCUAAUUGAUGUUUUACUGCGAGUUAAACAUAGCGGUGAUCUUCAAAUUCCAAUUACUAAUGAUAACAUCAAAGCUAUUGUGAUAGUAAGCACCAGGUCCUGAAUUUUAUGCAGUUCUAACUCUUAAUUAUGAUUCCAAUCUCUAAUUUUUGCAUUUUUUAUUCAUUGAUGCAGGAUGUGUUUUCUGCUGGAACUGAAACUUCUUCCACUACGGUAGAUUGGGCUAUGUCCGAGAUGAUUAGAAAUCCAAGUGUGAUGGCCAAAGCACAAUCUGAAAUAAGGACAGCCUUCAAGGGAAAGCAAAUGUUUGAAGAAGAUGAUGUUCAAGAAUUGAAGUACCUGAAGUUAGUGAUCAGAGAAACACUAAGGUUACACCCUCCUCUCCCUUUGCUAGUUCCUAGAGAAUGCAGGGAGGAAUGUGAGAUUGAUGGAUAUGUCAUCCCUGUGCAAACAAGAGUCUUGGUUAAUGCUUGGGCAAUGGGAAGAGACCCGCAGUAUUGGGAUGAUCCAGAGAGUUUUAAACCAGAGAGAUUCGAAAAUAAUCCAGUUGAUUUUGCAGGAACUCAUUUCGAAUAUUUACCAUUUGGUGCAGGAAGAAGGAUGUGCCCUGGAAUUCAAUUUGGUUUAGCUAAUGUUUAUGUUCCUUUAGCUUUUCUGCUUUACCACUUCAACUGGAAACUCCCAAACGGCCUAGAUCCCAAUGACUUGGACAUGUCAGAGUC
rnacentral:lncRNA from 1 species